GCGGCUCCCCCCGCGCCCCUCUGGAGAGCGCGCGGGCCUGAUUGGCCAGGCCCCUCCCCGGGCCGGCUGGGCGCCAUUUUGACCCCUGGCCGCCGCCGGGGAAGGGGUGGGCGUCCUCUCCCCUGUCCUUCCCCUCUGCGGCGGAGGAGGCGGUGGCCAGGAGCAGCGAGCCGAGUCUGCGCCGUGGGAAGGCCGCUUGCUGUGAUCAUGGAACUGGCUGCCUGCAGGAAGACUUUCAGACAAGCUGUCUGUGCACCCUUUCCAUAGUGCUCAGAAUUUCUUGUAUUUGGGCCUCUCCAGGACCAAUUCGACAUGGGUCUUUGUAGUGUGUAAACAGAGAGUGCUGUUGCUCCAACUUGUCCUCUGCAGGGAAAGAACAAGCAGAAGAAAAGGCACGUCAGCUGCAUGUUGUGAACAACUGUGUGUUCUGCCACAAUGGAAAAGGCAAAUCCUCCUUCCUGCUUGUAUAAUUCUGUAGGGCUACUCUGACCCAGAUCAGGAGUAGCUUUACAGCACAGCAAUACCUUCUCUUGAUCAGAAGCCCUGCCAAACACUUGCUAAUAACAGUGCUUUCCUAUAAAGCCUUCCUGUGAAGGACACUUUUGUAGUUUCUAGCUGUAAACUGAAGUGAAACUUUUCCAACAAUUUUUUGAUACUGCAUUGUGUAGAGGGUACAAAACUGUUGUUAGAUCACACCAAGGAGAAUUGGAUUGACUUUGAUGAUGGUGUAAAUGGCUGUUUGUGGGUGUACAAACACAUCUCCCUAAUCUGAAGACAAAAGCUUGUGCUUUACUUGAUAUUGACUGCAUUUUUCAGAAGCUGUAAGAGAAAUGACAAGCAAUUGAUAAUUUGCUUGGGAUAUUAUCUGCAGCAUUAAAGCCAUUCUAAACACAA